GUCUUGUGUAGCUCAGUUGGUGGAGCGUGGCGCUUGGAACGCCAAGGUUGUGGGUUCAAUUCCCAUGGGGGACC